UACAGAGGUCUCAAGCGUUGUUCGGAUUCAUUGGGCGUAAAGGGUGCGUAGGUGGCGUCGUAAGUCAGGUGUGAAAUCUCGGGGCUCAACCCCGAAACUGCACUUGAUACUGCGAUGCUCGAGUACUGGAGAGGAGAUUGGAAUUUACGGUGUAGCAGUGAAAUGCGUAGAUAUCGUAAGGAAGACCAGUGGCGAAGGCGAAUCUCUGGACAGUUACUGACACUGAGGCACGAAGGCCAGGGGGAGCAAACGGGG
rnacentral:rRNA from 1 species